UACGUAGGAGGCAAGCGUUGUCCGGAUUUACUGGGCGUAAAGAGCGCGCAGGCGGUCGUUCAAGUCGCGUGUGAAAGCCCCCGGCUCAACUGGGGAGGGUCACGCGAUACUGAUCGACUCGAAGGCAGGAGAGGGAAGUGGAAUUCCCGGUGUAGUGGUGAAAUGCGUAGAUAUCGGGAGGAACACCAGUGGCGAAGGCGACUUCCUGGCCUGUUCUUGACGCUGAGGCGCGAAAGCUAGGGGAGCAAACGGGG
rnacentral:rRNA from 1 species